rnacentral:lncRNA from 1 species
CAGGACCAGAGUUAUAGUUAGGGCCUAUAGGGAGAAUAAAACUAGACCAGAGUUAUAGUUAUGGCCAAUAGGGAGAAUAUAACUAGACCAGGACCAGAGUUAUAGUUAGGGCCUAUAGGGAGAACAUAACUAGACCAGGACCAGAGUUAUAGUUAGGGCCUAUAGGGAGGAUAUAACUAGACCAGACCAGAGUUAUAGUUAGGGCCUAUAGGGAGGAUAUAACUAGACCAGAGUUAUAGUUAGGGCCUAUAGGGAGAAUAUAACUAGACCAGAGUUAUAGUUAGGGGCCAUAGGGAGAAUAUAACUAGACCAGGACCAGAGUUAUAGUUAGGGCCUAUAGGGAGAAUAUAACUAGACCAGAGUUAUAGUUAGGGCCUAUAGGGAGAAUAUAACUAGACCAGGACCAGAGUUAUAGUUAGGGUCUAUAGGGAGAAUAUAACUAGACCAGAGUUAUAGUUAGGGCCUAUAGGGAGAAAAUAACUA